rnacentral:rRNA from 1 species
AAAGGCAUCUUUUUGUUUUUAAAAGACCUUCUUACGAAGGUAUGCUUAAAGAGGGGCUUGCGCCACAUUAGUUAGUUGGUAGAGUAAAAGCCUACCAAGACGAUGAUGUGUAGCUGGACUGAGAGGUUGAACAGCCACAUUGGGACUGAGACACGGCCCAAACUCCUACGGGAGGCAGCAGUAGGGAAUUUUCGGCAAUGGAGGAAACUCUGACCGAGCAACGCCGCGUGAACGAUGAAGUAUUUCGGUAUGUAAAGUUCUUUUAUUGAAGAAGAAAAAGUAGUGGAAAAACUAUAUUGACGUUAUUCAAUGAAUAAGCCCCGGCUAACUAUGUGCCAGCAGCCGCGGUAAGACAUAGGGGGCGAGCGUUAUCCGGAAUUAUUGGGCGUAAAGGGUGCGUAGGCUGUUAGAUAAGUCUAUAAUUUAAUUUCAGUGCUUAACGCUGUCUUGUUAUAGAAACUGUCUUGACUAGAGUGAGAUAGAGGCAAGCGGAAUUCCAUGUGUAGCGGUAAAAUGUGUAAAUAUAUGGAGGAACACCAGAAGCGUAGGCGGCUUGCUGGGUCUUUACUGACGCUGAGGCACGAAAGCGUGGGUAGCAAACAGGAUUAGAUACCCUGGUAGUCCACGCCGUAAACGAUGAGUACUAAGUGUCGGGGUAAAACUCGGUACUGAAGUUAACACAUUAAGUACUCCGCCUGAGUAGUACGUACGCAAGUAUGAAACUUAAAGGAAUUGACGGGACUCCGCACAAGCGGUGGAUCAUGUUGUUUAAUUCGAAGAUACACGAAAAAUCUUACCAGGUCUUGACAUACUCUGCAAAGCUAUAGAAAUAUAGUGGAGGUUAUCAGGGAUACAGGUGGUGCAUGGUUGUCGUCAGUUCGUGUCGUGAGAUGUUAGGUUAAGUCCUAAAACGAACGCAACCCUUGUCGUUAAUUGCCAGCACAUAAUGGUGGGGACUUUAACGAGACUGCCAAUUAAACAUUGGAGGAAGGUGAGGAUUACGUCAAAUCAUCAUGCCCCUUAUGAUCUGGGCUACAAACGUGAUACAAUGGCUGUGACAAAGAGUAGCUGAAACGCGAGUUUUUAGCCAAUCUCAAAAAAGCAGUCUCAGUUCGGAUUGAAGUCUGUAACUCGACUUCAUGAAGUUGGAAUCGCUAGUAAUCGCGAAUCAGCAUGUCGCGGUGAAUACGUUCUCGGGGUUUGUACACACCGCCCGUCAAACCACGAAAGUUAGCAAUGCCCGAAAGCAGUAGCUUAA